ACUCCGUAGCGGGAGGCAGCAGGUAGGGAAUAUUGCACGAAUGGGCGCAAGCCUGAUGCAGCCAUGCCGCGUGUGUGAAGAAGGCCUUCGGGUUGUAAAGCACUUUCAGUCGUGAGGAAGGUAGUGUAGUUAAUAGCUGCAUUAUUUGACGUUAGCGACAGAAGAAGCACCGGCUAACUCCGUGCCAGCAGCCGCGGUAAUACGGAGGGUGCGAGCGUUAAUCGGAAUUACUGGGCGUAAAGCGCAUGCAGGUGGUUUGUUAAGUCAGAUGUGAAAGCCCGGGGCUCAACCUCGGAAUUGCAUUUGAAACUGGC
rnacentral:rRNA from 1 species